rnacentral:rRNA from 1 species
AGUGAACGCUGGCGGUAGGCCUAACACAUGCAAGUCGAACGGCAGCACAGUAAGAGCUUGCUCUUACGGGUGGCGAGUGGCGGACGGGUGAGGAAUACAUCGGAAUCUACUUUUUCGUGGGGGAUAACGUAGGGAAACUUACGCUAAUACCGCAUACGACCUACGGGUGAAAGCAGGGGAUCUUCGGACCUUGCGCGAUUGAAUGAGCCGAUGUCGGAUUAGCUAGUUGGCGGGGUAAAGGCCCACCAAGGCGACGAUCCGUAGCUGGUCUGAGAGGAUGAUCAGCCACACUGGAACUGAGACACGGUCCAGACUCCUACGGGAGGCAGCAGUUGGGAAUAUUGGACAAUGGGCGCAAGCCUGAUCCAGCCAUACCGCGUGGGUGAAGAAGGCCUUCGGGUUGUAAAGCCCUUUUGUUGGGAAAGAAAAGCAGCAGGUUAAUACCCCGCUGUUCUGACGGUACCCAAAGAAUAAGCACCGGCUAACUUCGU